UUUUCUACAGGCCUUUGGAAGAGGUGGGGUUGGUGGCCACAGGCCCAGAGGGUGGGUACCCUGACUGGGAAGAUCCAAAAUGGCAGGAGAUGGGCACCAGGAGGCCAGCAUCACCCUGGGCAGCGAGGAAGGUGCAGGAGGCAGGAAGUGAGAAGAAGACCCCCUGGCCGGGCCAAGGGGUCCCCACGUGUGGUCGCCAGGCACCAUUAUGAUCACUCUUGACGGAGACUCUCACGGCUUCUCAAACAACUGCCUUUAAUGUGCUUUCAAAAGUCUCUCGCUCUCUUGCACGCUCUCUCUGACUCAUCUUUUUCUGCAAUAACCUCAUUAAAAGAAUUUGAAAAUGGA